GGUAGCAAACACAGACUUACUAUUUCAUUUAUUAUUUAACUGCUUACACUCUACUGUGGCACAGAGGCAGCUCUAACUGUCAAGAUGAAGUUCUUUCUUCUGGUGAUUUUCUGCUUGAUCAAUUACCCUGUAGCUAAUUGUCAUCAUCAUAGCAGCAGUGAUUCAGACAGCGAUGAGAGAGGCAAUCGUCGCACGUGGUUUGUUCCCAAGCGGUUUCCUCCUUGGCCUUCUAUCCCUUUCUGGACAUUUCCUGGUCUGUGGCCGCAGCCACCACCAGCUCCUGUCCCACCUCCACCA